AAAGAUUUAGUUAAAUAAAAUAACGUUAGAAUGUCAAACUAGAAUUGCUUUAUAAUAAGUAAUCUUUU
rnacentral:tRNA from 1 species